ensembl:miRNA
CAGGUUGGCUGAAAAGUUCAUUCAGGUUUUCCCAUAGCAGCUUAUGGAAAAACCGGAACGAACUUUUUGGCCAACCCA